rnacentral:rRNA from 1 species
GACGAACGCUGGCGGCGUGCUUAACACAUGCAAGUCGAGCGGUAAGGCCCUUCGGGGUACACGAGUGGCGAACGGGUGAGUAACACGUGGGUGAUCUGCCCUGCACUUCGGGAUAAGCCUGGGAAACUGGGUCUAAUACCGGAUAGGACCACUGCCUGCAUGGGUGGGGGUGGAAAGCUUUUGCGGUGUGGGAUGGGCCCGCGGCCUAUCAGCUUGUUGGUGGGGUGAUGGCCUACCAAGGCGACGGCGGUUAGCCGGCCUGAGAGGGUGACCGGCCACACUGGGACUGAGAUACGGCCCAGACUCCUACGGGAGGCAGCAGUGGGGAAUAUUGCACAAUGGGCGCAAGCCUGAUGCAGCGACGCCGCGUGAGGGAUGACGGCCUUCGGGUUGUAAACCUCUUUCAGCACCGACGAAGCGCAAGUGACGGUAGGUGCAGAAGAAGGACCGGCCAACUACGUGCCAGCCGCCGCCGUAA